UGCAGCAUGUGGAUCUUGAGCCUGUGCGCACUGAAAGACCAGGAGAAAAAGUUGCAUAUUACAAGAUAGCUAACCACUAUAAAUGGGCCUUGGAUGAGCUAUUCAUUAAGCAUGAUUUCCGUCGAGUAAUCAUUCUGGAAGAUGACAUGGAGAUCGCCCCAGAUUUCUUUGACUACUUCGAGGCUG